rnacentral:rRNA from 1 species
UACAGAGGUCCCCAAGCGUUGUUCGGAUUCACUGGGCGUAAAGGGUGCGCAGGUGGGCUGCCAAGUUUGAUGUGAAAGCCCCGGGCUUAACCCGGGAAUGGCAUUGAAUACUGAUGGCCUGGAGGUUUGGAGGGGGGACUGGAAUUCUUGGUGUAGCAGUGAAAUGCGUAGAUAUCAAGAGGAACACCAGUGGCGAAGGCGAGUCCCUGGACAACACCUGACACUGAGGCACGAAAGCCAAGGGAGCAAACAGGAUUAGAUACCCC